UCAGGCAAAUUUUUAUUUGUGGGGAGACCAUUGCACUGCCCAUUUGUGCCUCUCACCAUGGCAUCAAGUCAGACUCCAGUAAUCUAAGUUUAAUAUUUAUUUAUUGGUGAGGGGGGGAUUUUAUGAUGCUGUCAGUAGCUGGACUACUUAACAUCAAUUCGGACACCGUUGUUAAUGAAUAUGCAAGAAUGUUUGGUAGUAUACUUUGAAUUCAAGGAAGACAUUUGGAGAAAAGUUUGAAAGAUUAUUUCACAGGCCUGGACUUACCAGAAAAUUAAUUUGUGAUUUGUGCCAUAGUAAAAUACAUAGGGAUGGAAGUUACAAAAAACAUCUAGAAAUAAAUGUGGAAACAAAGCCUCAGUGAAGAAUUCAGCAUCAACAAGAAGAUAUUUCAGAUGUUGGGGUACCGUGCAUUCAUAUUUCUUGAUGUCAGAAAUAUAUGCUGAAGCAGAGAAUUUCUUGCGAAUGAC